UUACCAGACUCCUACGGGAGGCAGCAGUGGGGGAUAUUGCACAAUGGGGGAAACCCUGAUGCAGCGACGCCGCGUGGGUGAAGAAGCGCCUCGGCGCGUAAAGCCCUGUCAGCAGGGAAGAAAAUGACGGUACCUGAAGAAGAAGCCCCGGCUAACUACGUGCCAGCAGCCGCGGUAAUACGUAGGGGGCAAGCGUUAUCCGGAUUCACUGGGUGUAAAGGGAGCGUAGACGGCCAUGCAAGCCUGGAGUGAAAGCCCGGGGCCCAACCCCGGGACUGCUCUGGGAACUGUGCGGCUGGAGUGCGGGAGGGGCAGGCGGAAUUCCUGGUGUAGCGGUGAGAUGCGUAGAUAUCAGGAGGAACACCGGCGGCGAAGGCGGCCUGCUGGACCGCGACUGACGUUGAGGCUCGAAAGCGUGGGGAGCAAACAGGAUUAGAUACCCCUGUA
rnacentral:rRNA from 1 species